UUAUGCCAGAUGAAAUGGACAGGAAGGGU
rnacentral:piRNA from 1 species